rnacentral:rRNA from 1 species
AGCAGUUUAAGCUUGACAUAUAUGUAAUUGGUGUUACCUUUUGUAUCAUGAUCUGGGGAUUAUUGUGGAGUAUUCUUUAAGUAGAAAAGUAAUGAUUUUUUUUUGUUAUUAAUCUUGUGAAAAGAUUUUUUUAAAUAAUAAAGGUAGUGAUAAAUUAGUCGGAUUGCUUUAUAACUAGUAGUGGUUUUGAUACUAAUAUUAACUUUUUUAGCGCAGAGGUUAAAAAAGUGACUAUAAGCUGAUUUUAUGCAUUCGAGCGGGGUUUAAAAGUAACCGAGCUUUUAAAGUGUUACAACUUAGUGUUAGAUUAAGGUGCUUUAUGUAAAAAAUCACGCGCAAACUGUUUGUUAAAAAGUAUCCUAGAAUUAGUACAAUAUUAGCUAAAGAAUAUUUUGGGUUAGCUCGRACUGUUUAUUAAAAACAUUUUUGCAAUUAUAGUUUUGCAAUAUAACCUGCUCAGUGUAAUUCAACAGCCGCAGUAUYUUGACUGUGCUAAGGUAGCAUAAUUACUUGUCCCCUAAAUAGGGAAUUGUUUGAAUGGUUUGUGUGGGUUUUACUAGAUUUUUUAGCUUAGGUAGAAUUUAAAGUGUGAGUAAAGAUUCUCACGAUUUAAUAGAAGACGGAAAGACCCCGAGAGCUUAAAAUUUAAUUUGCUUGGGGCGAGAGCCUUUUUUCAAAGGUAGUUAGAACCUAGUAAUAGGGUAUUGGUUAAGUUACCUCGGGGAUAACAGGGUAAGAAGUGAGGAGAGAUCAUAUCGAUUUGCUUAGGUGCCACCUCGAUGUUGACUUAAAGUAACCCCAAAAAGCAGCAUUUUUGUGGGUAGGCCUGUUCGGCCUUUAAAUCUUUUCAUGAGUUGAGUUGAGACCGGUGUAAGCCAGGUCGGUUCCUAUCUAUAUUUUUAUUUCUCUAGUACGAAAGGACUGAGACAUGUUUAGGUUA